rnacentral:rRNA from 1 species
GCAGAGAUGCUUUGGUGCCUUCGGGAACUCUGAGACAGGUGCUGCAUGGCUGUCGUCAGCUCGUGUUGUGAAAUGUUGGGUUAAGUCCCGCAACGAGCGCAACCCUUAUCCUUUGUUGCCAGCGGUUAGGCCGGGAACUCAAAGGAGACUGCCAGUGAUAAACUGGAGGAAGGUGGGGAUGACGUCAAGUCAUCAUGGCCCUUACGAGUAGGGCUACACACGUGCUACAAUGGCAUAUACAAAGAGAAGCAACCU